CAUUUGAACACAGCACAACGCGUCAACGCCCUCAUCCCGGAUUCCCGGCAGCCACCCAAGUUUCCGUACCGCCGCCGCUUUCGUGGUCGACGCAGGCACCCACGGUGGCCGCCGGAGCUGCGAGCCGGCGACCCCGACACAGCUCGAGAUUAAAAAAAAUCCAUCCUCACCUCUUGUCCCACUCGCCGAUUUCAUCUAGCUAGCUUAGCCCCUCGAUCCGUAGGUCUCCGUCCAUCCCGUCGCUGUAAUUUAUCUCACCAUCACUACCCAGGAGUAAUUUCUGUGUACAUAUCAAACCAAAGAUCCGCAUCAUCCAAUCCCGCGCGGACCCCAAUCCUCCCCCCCCCCCCCCCCCCCCACCCUUUUUUUUUUUUUUGCUCGGCGCUAGGUCUAGAGCGCCGCGCUGGUUUAGGUUUUGCGCGGUGGCAGGGAGGCCUUGAAGCUAGGGUUAGUAUCCCCGGGCGGCGGAGGGAUGGACAAGAAGAAGGUGGCGGUGCCGCUGGUGUGCCACGGCCACUCCCGGCCGGUCGUGGACCUUUUCUACAGCCCCGUCACGCCCGACGGCUACUUCCUCAUCAGCGCCAGCAAGGACUCAAAUCCAAUGCUUCGCAAUGGUGAGACUGGAGAUUGGAUUGGGACAUUUCAAGGCCACAAAGGUGCUGUUUGGAGCGCUUGUCUUGACACCAAUGCUCUGCGUGCUGCCUCUGGUUCCGCUGACUUUUCAGCAAAAAUUUGGGAUGCACUAACAGGCGAUGUGCUCCACUCCUUCGAACACAAGCACAUUGUCCGUGCAUGUGCUUUUUCUGAGGAUACCCACAUGUUACUUACUGGAGGUUUUGAGAAGAUUUUGCGCAUAUAUGAUUUGAACCGUCCGGAUGCAGCUCCAAGAGAAAUUGAGAAAUCACCUGGUUCUGUCAGAACUGUCACUUGGCUUCAUAGUGACCAAACUAUACUAAGUUCCUGCACGGAUAUGGGUGGUGUGAGAUUAUGGGAUGUAAGGAGUGGAAAAAUUGUUCAAACACUUGAAACCAAGUCACCUGUGACCAGCGCGGAAGUAAGCUAAGAUGGUCGGUUUAUCACGACAACUGAUGGCUCAAGUGUGAAGUUCUGGGAUGCAAAUCACUAUGGACUUGUUAAGAGCUACAAUAUGCCAUGUGCAGUAGAGUCGGCUUCUCUUGAACCAAAGUAUGGGAAUAAAUUUGUCACUGGUGGAGAAGACAUGUGGGUUCGUGUAUUCGAUUUCUUCACUGGAGAAGAAUUAGCAUGUAACAAGGGACACCAUGGCCCUGUCCACUGCGUCCGAUUCUCCCCAGUUGGCGAAUCUUAUGCGUCAGGGUCGGAAGAUGGCACCAUCCGAAUCUGGCAGCUGGGCCCAGCUAGCAGCGAAGAGCAGGAGGCGGCAAACGCAAACGGGAAGAUGAAGGUUGCGGUAAAUGACGUCACGCGCAAGAUUGAGGGCUUCCACAUUCCCAAGGACGGGCAGGCAGAGGGGUCGUGAUGCACCACUUCGCGCUGGCGAUGCUUGCUGGGAGACUGCUGUUGUCGAAUGCUCUGCGGGGGGUGGUCUCUGUUGUAGUAUGGGUGGGUUUCAUGUAGCAGCACCGGGACGAUAUGGUGAAAUUUUGGGUGGGGGUGUUUGGGGGUGUCCCCUAACUCCAGUUGCAUGCAGUACACAGCCGGGACAGUUCUCUUUCUCUUCUCUUCUCUCACUGAAAGAUGAGCAAGUUGAAAUUGACCAAUGUCUUUUGUACGUACCUUGUUAACGCAAUCUGCGUUCGUAUCUCUUCUGGUCGUUGGGUCGGGUCGGCUUGCCAAACAAGCCACGCCGGAAGACGUUUGAUCUCUACUUCUAGCUGAUGCAUGUAGCUGGCCCGUGUGGAAACUACCUGCUAGAUGGAAACUUGGAAACAAUAAAGAGAAUUUCCUA